GAUGAACGCUGGCGGCGUGCCUAAUACAUGCAAGUCGAGCGAAUUGACAGAGGUGCUUGCACCUCUCGAUUUUAGCGGCGGACGGGUGAGUAACACGUGGGUAACCUACCUAUAAGACUGGGAUAACUUCGGGAAACCGGAGCUAAUACCGGAUAAUAUUUAGCUUCGCAUGAAGCAAUAGUGAAAGACGGUUCUGCUGUCACUUAUAGAUGGACCUGCGGUGUAUUAGCUAGUUGGUGAGGUAACGGCUCACCAAGGCAACGAUACAUAGCCGACCUGAGAGGGUGAUCGGCCACACUGGGACUGGGACACGGCCCAGACUCCUACGGGAGGCAGCAGUAGGGAAUCUUCCGCAAUGGACGAAAGUCUGACGGAGCAGCGCCGCGUGAGUGAAGAAGGUUUUCGGAUCGUAAAACUCUGUUGUAAGGGAAGAACAAGUACGUUAGUAACUGAACGUACCUUGACGGUACCUUACCAGAAAGCCACGGCUAACUACGUGCCAGCCGCCGCCGUAACAC
rnacentral:rRNA from 1 species